rnacentral:rRNA from 1 species
AUUGAACGCUGGCGGCAGGCUUAACACAUGCAAGUCGAGCGGAGACUUCGGUCUUAGCGGCGAACGGGUGAGUAAUACCUAGGAAUCUGCCUAUUAGUGGGGGAUAACGAAUCGAAAGGUUCGCUAAUACCGCAUACGUCCUACGGGAGAAAGGGGGGGAUCUUCGGACCUCUCGCUAAUAGAUGAGCCUAGGCCGGAUUAGCUAGUUGGUAGGGUAAAGGCCUACCAAGGCGACGAUCUGUAGCUGGUCUGAGAGGAUGGCCAGCCACACUGGAACUGAGACACGGUCCAGACUCCUACGGGAGGCAGCAGUGGGGAAUAUUGGACAAUGGGGGCAACCCUGAUCCAGCCAUGCCGCGUGUGUGAAGAAGGCCUGCGGGUUGUAAAGCACUUUUGUUCGGGAAGAAAUCAUGUCGGUUAAUACCCGAUGUGGAUGACGGUACCGAAAGAAUAAGCACCGGCUAACUUCGUG